AUAGAGGAAGAGAACUAUUAUAUGCAACUAAUUUUCCAUAUACAACUAAUAGUGAACUCAAAAUAACUUCAACUCUUCGAUUUUUGUAUUCAUGCUUCAAGUUAAGCUUACAAGAUUCAGUGAAUCAAUUAUGUACCCGGUAUUGGAAAGCAAAAGAACAAGCGCAAUGAUCAACACAGCAGUAGCAUACACAGCAACAACAAACUCAGCAAUACAGAACAACCCAGUAACAAAUAGUAGCAGAAAAACCCAGUGACCAGAUUCAAACCAAAUAGAAAACCCAGUAAUCAAUGAAACAGUACUCAGCCAACAGAAAACCUAGGAAAUACCUGUCUGAAACCAAGGACACUUAAUGAAAUCACUGGCAGAAUGCACUGUGAAUCAUCAAGCAAAGAACAAUGGAACAGUUCAGAUUUUUGUUCUUUUCACUAGAACAGAAACACUCUCAAAAGUCACUCAACUUUGUGUGCAAAAAACAACCUAUAAAACACUCUAUAUCUCUUACUUAGCAAGAUAAAAUCCAGCGUUUUUCUAGUCCUAAAAUGACUCAAGAUAUAGGCUAAAACAUAUCUCUAAGGUCUGUCUUGAUGCUAUCAGAACUACACCUGCCCAUUCCCCUUUGAUUCCAAUGCCUAAGGUCUUCUUGAUGCAAGUAAAAUGGUUCCCUGCACUUGGUUUCCCACUCUAGCAUGCGUUGUAUCUAUUUGUUUUAAUUAAGAGUUAUGGGAAGGGUUGUAGUAUUCAAUUAAUUCCCAUGUUGGUAUGUUUUCUACC
rnacentral:lncRNA from 1 species